rnacentral:lncRNA from 1 species
GGAAAAAGCAGUGGAACUGGCUUCGAGGUCUAGAAUAGAGUUUGAAGGGACUAGAACAACAAACAAGUCUUUCAGUUUUCUUUAUUAACUGAAAAGGCUCAUUGUCAAACAUUAUAAGGCACAUAUUUUCCUCAUCUGCACAGAUGUCAUACUGAGCAACUCAAAAGUCAAAGUUGUCAGUAGCUUAAAAAAAAGGUACAAAGUGUGUAGCGCUGGGAUUGUACAUGGAAUAGUGUCAUUAUGUUCUCCUGUGACAUAUUCGCAAUCUGUCCAGUACAAACACCACAUUCAAUCAGGACAAAAUCCUGAGUUGCAUUCAACUAUUCGAACAGACAGGACCAAUGCUGGCAUGUUAAAAUACAUUUCUUUUUCUUCAAAUCACACAUUUGUGGAUGUAUACAUUCUACAGACAUAGCUUGGACUGCUGGACUUUGUCAUGUGACUAUAAUCUUAACACAUUGCUCAACAAUGCCAGUAGAUUAAUUCAUCUUAUCACACGUCCUCAACCUUUCGCCUGAUUAAAACAUCCCCAGGUCAAACUUGGCAAGCUAUGCCCUAAAAGUCCUCUUGUAAACAGGAAAUUGAAACUCUUUAAGACAGCACCAGAGCCAAAAUGAAUCCUACCGUCGUUACAGAGUGAUUGAUAGACAUGUAAUGCAGUGUUUCCCCAACCCUGGUCCUCCAGCACCUAUGAAGCCACUACUGUAAUACUUUUUUUGCAGCUCAAUUCUCUAGUGGCAAAACUGCACUUGGGAGGAAGCAUCAAUUAAGACAAAUGGCAGGUCUCUGAGGACCACACAGACAGACAGAUCGAUCUGAGAGAAAGGGAUGAGAGCGAAAACGUGGAACGGGGUGAGGAUGGGAUGAGUGACCAGAAAAGGUCUAUAUGCAUGUUAAGCUGGCAGUCAGGGGAAGGGGUGGUUGGGGUCAUCCUUUGGGUGCAGCAAGUCUCUGGGUAAAUUGGGACCCAGUCCAGGGUGGUAGGGCAGGGGCAUGCAUCCCCAUUGGGGCCCAGCCAUCUUAGAGCCGGUCCCUACCCUUCCCCUUGGCCCAGAUCUAUUAGAUAUUGCUCCUAUGGUGGAAUUACUACUACACUGCUCAGGGUUCUCCGACGCUGUUCCUGGAGAGCUACCAUCCUGUAGGUUUAGGUUCUCCAGGAACAGGGUUGGUGUGAAGACCGACAGGAUGGUAGCUCUCCAGAAACAGCGUUGGAGAACCCUGACACUGCUUACACCUAUUAAGAACCUACAGACAUACUAACAUUGAGGGGUUAGGGCCAAGGUGAGGGGUGUGGAACCGGUCACUACUCUAUGGCUCUGGGCAUGGUGGCCACGUAGACAAAGACUACGAUGAGCAGCACCACCACAGCCAGCGUGGGUAGAACCACUGUGGCCACCUGCGACCGGGCCUCCUGCAUGGCCGCCUUACGCUCCUUCUUGUCCCUGGACGUCUCCUUCUUGGGCUUCCCCUUCAGCUGCCUCAUGGUGGUUCCCUCCCUGGGUGGACACACUGCAGCACUCAGCUAGGCUCAGCCAAAUCCUGCAGGUGCAGUGACUCCCUCUACAGUUCUGGAGGUGCAGUCGGUGGUGGUCCACUUGCUCGCCAACACCACUGGCACGCACCUGUGAGCAGGAGGAGAACAGGCAUUAAUGAACAUGUUGUUUUCUAUCAAACAGCCUGUCAAUCACACUAUGAACUAAGAAUAGUGGGGUUGGUUACUAUACUUAACUAGUCAGGCUACGGCUAUGUAUUUUGAUUAAUUUAUUGGUAUCUUGGGUUAAGUCUGACUUGGACUUAAGUGAGACAAGAUAACUACAUAUCUAUAUUACACAGUUAGCCAAAUCCACAAAAGUGGUCAAAAUGACCACUUCUGAAAAUGCUACUAAUUGACCGUUAUACAGUUAAUCUUCCUGUGCCCCGCCCAGCACGUCUAACAUUUCCGUCACACUGACAGAGUCAUUGCACAAAAUAGUAUGCAGCAUCAUCCGGAUAUGUACGCAGCAUCAUCCGGAUAUGUACACAGCAUCAUCCGGAUAUGUACGCAACAAGUAGUUCCAACAUUCACCUUCUGCUCCCAUUUCUGUCAAGCUGUCUACACAUUCAGUUUGAUGCAUAUGUUCUAUAAAUCCAACAUAUGCGCAACACCGAAGGCACUGCAACUGCCUCCGCAAUGCAAUGCUGCAAGGCAAACGCAUCGUUCCAUUGGAAAUGAAUGUAAUUCUGGUGUACCAAAAUGCAAUGAUGCUGUCGAUGUGAUCGAAGCGUAAUGGCAACGUUUUCACCGCAAGAUCUCACUAGAGAAAUGACUCCCGUUGCUAUGGCAACCACACACAGGGCAGCAGAACUGCUGCACAUUGUUGUUACUUAACGUACAAAAAAAAAGAAAAUGGUCACUUCAGACAUCUCUUGGAUGCUGCAUUCCAGGCUACAUAAAGUGAU